UCGGACCCAGUCGAAUCCGACGAUUCAAGACACUGACGAUUUUAAGACAAUGGAUUUUUGCUCUUCGCAUUCAUCGUCUCGGAGACUCGCAGUUAACGACGUAAAUUAUCAACUGUCGCUGCCUUGAUUAGAUCACGUUGUUCACAGGUUUGAGAGCCAUGAACUGGGUUCAGCGCAAGAUCUAUCUGUAUAAUGUCACUUUUGGUCUCUACAUGUUGGAUUGGUGGGAGCGUUCCCUUUUCAAUACUUUGGUGAUCGUGCUGAUGUGGUUCAUUUUCUACAAUGGGUCGCGAUAUGUGACCGAGUUCUGUAAGAGGCAUCUAUGGUGAAGCUCAAACUCAGACGUCAAUUUGGAUGAUCAAAAUUAUAAUGGUCAUGUAGAAUGUUUGAGCGUUGCCGUGAAUAUCAAAUCCAUUUGCUUGAAAAUUUCCCUUGUAGUCUUCCUACAUCAUAGUGUACACCUUACUUUGGUUCUUUCCUUUAUUCAAUUAUCCUGUGUAAUGUUGAUGAUGUCCUGCUUCUAUCCUGAAGGAGGACGGUCAAAGCACAUAUAAAACAACAUGUUCAGUGAAGGAAACUCUACUGUAGAAAUUACAUAGAUAAUAUUUAGUAUUAAGUUGUGCUAUUUUAUUGUUUUAGAUGGAGUUGAGUACAUAAAUUAGAUUCAAGCCAUGUGAUUUUUUGAAAUUAACUUUCAUAUUUGUUAUAAUGUCUAUAAAAAACAAAAGUUUGAUUUUCUUUCUAAAAAAUGACAAAAUAAAAUAAAAAAGCUGUGUACGGUGAUUUGGCUUUGUCUAUAA